rnacentral:rRNA from 1 species
UGAGUUCAAACCGGUGUAAGCCAGGUUGGUUUCUAUCUUUUAGAAAAUUAAAUAUUUUAGUACGAAAGGAUCAAAUAUUUAAAUUAAAUUUAUAUAAUAAGAAUAUUAAUAAAUAAAAUUAUAUUUAUUUUUUUUUGCUUUAUAUAUAUAUAUAUAUAUAUAUAAA